rnacentral:RNase_MRP_RNA from 1 species
AGCAUCGGGGAAGAUCUGCAUGUUUGACGCAUCACACACACGGAAGAAAGAGCUUGCUUCGGCAACUUUUAUCUUACUCAUUGCGUUAGGGAAGUUCUCCAGACAUGGGUACCUGUAAAGGGUUAUUGAAAAGCAGUAUUCCUUGAUACUGUGGUGUCCUUUUCCUAUCAGUUAUCGGCAAAGUUAGCUGUGGUAGGAGAAGCCGCCCAAUAGUUUUUGUCAUAGGAAAAGUUAUUGCAGAUCUUGGUGGAAACAUCAAGAACUCAAUGGAGGCUACUCUCCCUUGAUGC